rnacentral:tRNA from 1 species
GGAGAGGUGACCGAGAGGCUGAAAGUACCCGUUUCGAAAGCGGGCGAGGGGAGACCCUCCGCGGGUUCGAAUCCCGCCCUUUCCG